GAUUUCUGGCAAAUUCGGAUGGCCCGGCUCCUUCUGGGGCUGUGUGCUGUCUCUGAGUCUGCCAUCCUUCCAGAGAGCUGUGCCUACCGCUUCUGCGGCCGGGCGCUGUGAUCUGGAUCUUUUACUUUGAAAAAAUUAGAGUGUUCCAAGCAGGCUUACGCUUUGAAUACAUUAGCAUGGAAUAAUAAUAUAGGACUUUGGACCUAUUUUGUUGGUUUCUAUAACUGAAGUAAUGAUUGAUAGGGAUAGUUGGGGGUGCUAGUAUUGGCCGGCCAGAGGUGAAAUUCUUGGAUUCGGUCAAGACUAACUUAUGCGAAAGCAUU
rnacentral:rRNA from 1 species